GUUUGAUCCUGGCUCAGGAUGAACGCUAGCGGAAGGCUUAAUACAUGCAAGUCGAGCGGUAGUCCCCUUCGGGGGAUGAGAGCGGCGCACGGGUGAGUAACGCGUACAUGACCUGCCUGUCAGAAGGGGAUAGCCCUGGGAAACUGGGAUUAAUACCCUAUGGUAUUGAUAUUAUGAAUGAUAUCAAUUAAAGUUGAGGCGCUGACAGAUGGAUGUGCGUCUGAUUAGCUAGUUGGUAGGGUAACGGCCUACCAAGGCGACGAUCAGUAGGGGGCGUGAGAGCGUGGUCCCCCACACGGGUACUGAGACACGGACCCGACUCCUACGGGAGGCAGCAGUAAGGAUAUUGGUCAAUGCCCGCAAGGGUGAACCAGCCAUUCCGCGUGGAGGAUGAAGGCCCUAUGGGUUGUAAACUUCUUUUAGAUGGGAAGAAAAUGCUAGAUGUAUCUGGUACUGACGGUACCAGUCAGAAUAAGCACCGGCUAACUCCGUGCCAGCAGCCGCGGUAAUACGGAGGGU
rnacentral:rRNA from 1 species